CUGCACACCUUAACAUGGUGAAUUUUAUGGUACGUAAAUUACAUCUCAAUAACAUUUAAAAAAAAAAAAAAAAGCAGCAGCAGAUGGCUGCUGGAGGAGGCUGAGCUUAAAUACCCCUGGUUACACUUCCUCCUUUCCUUGUAUUUACUGGAAGGAGAAGGAUUUGUCCUAAGAUGAAUAGUUUUUUCAUCUUCAGAAAUUCCUGACAAGCUACUACCCUGUCAAGGCAUGAAAAAUUUCAUUAGUGCUGACUUGGUACACAGUCUAUUAAUUAGUACCUAAAUAAUUGCAUGUUGCCUCUGUGUCAUGAUUUAUAAUUGUAUGCAUGCUUUGAUCUUUCUCAUCACAGGCAGCACUGAGAAGUGAAGGAAUAUUUGGGAGGAUCAGAAGCUUGGUCCUGAUUUUGCCAUCAACAGGAACUUGAUGACUUCAAGGGAGUCCCCAAACCCUGGGUUUCUGUUUUCUCAACUCUAACAUGAGGGGCUAGAUGCAUCUGGUUUAGUUAGUCUCCAUGAUGGUUUAGUUCGUCUCCAUGAUCCUGUGAAUUUCAGAUGUUGAAAAUCUUCGGAAAAGCCCUGAAAGAUGAACAGUGGUCUCAAAUAGUCAAGACCCCCUGCUGGGAGGAGCUUCUAUCCUGCUCUGUGGAAGAAAUGGGCAUGCCAGAUGCCUG
rnacentral:lncRNA from 10 species